AGUGAACGCUGGCGGUAGGCCUAACACAUGCAAGUCGAACGGCAGCACAGUAAGAGCUUGCUCUUACGGGUGGCGAGUGGCGGACGGGUGAGGAAUACAUCGGAAUCUACUUUUUCGUGGGGGAUAACGUAGGGAAACUUACGCUAAUACCGCAUACGACCUACGGGUGAAAGCAGGGGAUCUUCGGACCUUGCGCGAUUGAAUGAGCCGAUGUCGGAUUAGCUAGUUGGCGGGGUAAAGGCCCACCAAGGCGACGAUCCGUAGCUGGGCUGAGAGGAUGAGGAGGAAAAUUGGAACUGAGACACGGUGGAGAAUAAUACGGGAGGGAGCAGUGGGGAAUAUUGGACAAUGGGCUGAAGCCUGAUCCAGCCAUGCGGGGUGUGUGAAGAAGGUCUUAGGAUUGUAAAGAACUUUAAGUUGGGAGGAAGGGCAGUAAGUUAAUACCUUGCUGUUUUGACGGUACCAACAGAAUAAGCACCGGCUAACUUCGUG
rnacentral:rRNA from 1 species